UACGGAGAGUGCAAACGUUGUUCGGAUUCACUGGGCGUAAAGGGCACGUAGGCGGCUCGGCAAAUCGGUCGUGGAAUCCAGACGCUUACCGUCUGAACGGCGGCCGAAAUACCGGCUCGAGGCGUGAGGGUCACUGGAACUCCUGGUGAAGCGGUGAAAUGCGUAGAUAUCAGGAGGAACGCCGGAGGCGAAGCGAGUGACUGGCGCGUUCCUGACGCUGAGGUGCGAAGCUAGGGAGCAAACAGG
rnacentral:rRNA from 1 species